GACAAAUCUCCUGGUGGCUAGCCUGAUGAUGGAGGUGGAGGCCUUGGAGAAGGCUGACUGCUGAGUUGGUGUCACUACAUCUGGGAGUUGUGUCUUCUGAAUCCACAAGGUCCAGACAGAGGCCAUUGCUGCUUGUUUUUGACCCAGAAAAAUGCCUGAUCCAUAGUGGACACUCGGAAAAUGUUGGCUAAACAAAUGGAAAGAAAUCAAAGAAGGCUUCCUGGAGCAGGUGGAGGAUGAGAGAAACAAAGAAGGAGACACUGCAGCACUGCUCCACUGCCUAUGAGGUCUCCCCACUGCAGGCUCUUUCAUGUGCUUGUCAACUGCUAUUUGAAGACACAGCCCUGCAUUCUUCUGGGUGACAUGCUGUGACUUGCUAGGUCACCAGCCCUGAGAAUAUCAGCUUCUGUCCAAAUCAUGUGUUGCACCUGAAGAAGCACUGGUUAUCACCUGCUGUAAAGUGUAAUACAUUUUCUUCUUUUGUAUUAGUUCAGGUUUCUCCAGAGGAAAAGGAGAGAGAGAGAGAGAGAGAGAGAGAGAGAGAGAGAGAGAGGGAAAGGAAACACACUGGGGUCUGGGAGAGGCUGUAGGUAUAAGAUGUGCUUUUCUAGUUCUCAUUCUUUCUGGGUUAGGAAAAUAUACUGUUCCACAGAAUGCAGGUGGCAUGGUGAGAGCUGGACUGGAUCUGUGACCAGGAAGGCUGGACCCUUGGGGAUGGGACGGGAGACAGUCUGAUUCCCCAGUGAUACCUGGGGAAGGCCUAGUGCAUAUACUGUCCUGAUGUUAGGCCUGAUUCUGUACACUUUGCACAGCAGCAUUCAUUAUUUAUUUAUUUUUAAAUAACAAUUGGCCUUGUCACUACUCUGUAUGCAGGGCCAAUAGAAUGUGGCUUUAGGUAGGCACCAGUAUCUGACUCAUCCACGACAGGUGGGGGCAGGUCAAGAAGUGGCCAUUUUUGGCUAUAGCAGUACCUUCUAGAUUGCUCACCAAGGUGCCUUUUACCUCAGGGUGCUCAGGCCUGGAUUCCUGAGCAAUUCUGUAAGAAGCACAGAAGUUAACAUGACAAGUUGCUAAGUAGAUCUCUUUUCAAAGAUGUCCUCUCCCUCUGAGGUAAUGAUAGAAGUGGGUGUUGCUAUGGUGACCAGUCUUCUGUUUAGAAGCACACAGAACAAAAGUUGAGAUGUCUUGUCUACCAUUUGUGGUCAUGGCUAUCCUUCCAGUUUCUUGAUCCCAAAGCUGACUUUUAUUUUGUGCCUUAAGUCCCUGAAUAAGAUGGGGACAUGACUGACUACAUUUAGAAGAAAAGAACAAAAUCCAUGUCUGGCAUGUGGCUGAAGGGCUUUUUCAAGAACUGAAGGAAAAUUAUUCCACAAGGUGUUAAGAACAUGGAAGAGACACAUGAUUCCUGAAUCCUCUGGGAACAGGUCCUGGACCUGUAUAUUUCUCUCCAGCAAACAGCACUGACACUUUUUCAAGACUAGGAGCAGAAUCUAUAGUUAACUUCAUUUUGGAACCUGUGAAAUAGUUCACUUGGAUAAUGUGUUGCUUUGCCAUGUGUACAACCCAGGUAUGAGCCUGAACUCUACCACAACGAAGGAAGGCUCAGUGUUGUGGUCUCUCAUUCU